UGGUGGAGUGAUUUGUCUGCUUAAUUGCGAUAACGAACGAGAUCUUAACCUGCUAAAUAGUGUGUUGGCACCUUGUGUGCUAAUGCUCACUUCUUAACGGGACUGUGAAAGAAAAUUUCACGGAAGCAUGAGGCAAUAACA
rnacentral:rRNA from 1 species